rnacentral:rRNA from 1 species
UACGUAGGGUGCGAGCGUUAAUCGGAAUUACUGGGCGUAAAGCGUGCGCAGGCGGUUUUGUAAGCCAGAUGUGAAAUCCCCGGGCUUAACCUGAGAAUGGCAUUUGGGACUGCAAGGCUUGAGUGCGGCAGAGGAGACUGGAAUUCCUGGUGUAGCAGUGAAAUGCGUAGAUAUCAGGAGGAACACCGAUGGCGAAGGCAGGUCUCUGGGCUGACACUGACGCUCAUGCACGAAAGCUAGGGGAGCAAACAGG